rnacentral:rRNA from 1 species
GACGAACGCUGGCGGCGUGCUUAACACAUGCAAGUUGAACGGAAAGGGCUUGUUUUUGUGGGGUGCUCGAGUGGAGAAAGGGUGAGUAACACGUGAGUGACCUGUGCUUGUCUUUGGGGUAACUUCUGGAAAAUGGGGCUCAUACCGGAUAGGAGAUCUUGCUGCAUGGGGGGGGUUGGAAAGAUUCGUCGGUUGGGGAUGGACUUGCGGCUUAUCAGCGUGUUGGUGGGGUGGUGGGUUACCAGGGCUUUGACGGGUAGCCGGCCUGAGAGGGUGACCGGCCACAUUCGGACUGGGAUGCCGCCCAGACUCCUUCUUGAGGCAGCAAUGAGGAAUAUUCCACGAUGGGCGGAGGCCUGAAGCAGCAACGCCGCAUGCGAGAUCACGGCCUUCGGGGUGUAACCCGCUUUCGCCUGUAACGAACCUUAAGUGACGGUAAUUAGUAAAGAAGCACCGGCUAACUACGUG